rnacentral:tRNA from 1 species
UGCGGUGUAGAGAAGUUCGGUAUCUCGUCUGGCUCAUAAUCAGAAGGCCGCCGGUUCGAAUCCGGCCUCCGCAA